rnacentral:rRNA from 1 species
GACGAACGCUGGCGGCGUGCCUAAUACAUGCAAGUCGAGCGCAGGAAGCCGUCUGAACCCUUCGGGGGGACGACGGUGGAAUGAGCAGCGGACGGGUGAGUAACACGUAAAGAACCUGCCCAUAGGUCUGGGAUAACCACGAGAAAUCGGGGCUAAUACCGGAUGUGUCAUCGGACCGCAUGGUCCGAUGAUGGAAGGCGCUCCGGCGUCGCCCAUGGAUGGCUUUGCGGUGCAUUAGCUAGUUGGUGGGGUAACGGCCUACCAAGGCGACGAUGCAAAGCCGACCUGAGAGGGUGAUCGGCCACACUGGGACUGAGACGCGGCCCAGACUCCUACGGGAGGCAGCAGUAGGGAAUCUUCCACAAUGGACGAAAGUCUGAUGGAGCAACGCCGCGUGAACGAUGAAGGCUUUCGGGUCGUAAAGUUCUGUUGUAAGGGAAGAACAAGUGCCGCAGGCAAUGGCGGCACCUUGACGGUACCUUGCGAGAAAGCCACGGCUAACUACGUGCCAGCAGCCGCCGUAA